rnacentral:piRNA from 1 species
UACCACAGUAGACAGACCUUGAAGGUACC